GGCCUCUUAGCUCAAUGGUAGAGUUAAUGCAACUUGUCGCUUCGUCACAACUCCGUCGGUGCGCGGCGCUUGUGGAGCGCGGAAAACAUUAGGCUGCGAGUUCGAGUCUCGCAGGGGCCC
rnacentral:tRNA from 1 species